GAUGAACGCUGGCGGCGUGCUUAACACAUGCAAGUCGAACGAAGCACUUUAUUUGAUUUCCUUCGGGACUGAUUAUUUUGUGACUGAGUGGCGGACGGGUGAGUAACGCGUGGGUAACCUGCCUUGUACAGGGGGAUAACAGUUGGAAACGGCUGCUAAUACCGCAUAAGCGCACGGCAUCGCAUGAUGCAGUGUGAAAAACUCCGGUGGUAUAAGAUGGACCCGCGUUGGAUUAGCUAGUUGGUGAGGUAACGGCCCACCAAGGCGACGAUCCAUAGCCGACCUGAGAGGGUGACCGGCCACAUUGGGACUGAGACACGGCCCAAACUCCUACGGGAGGCAGCAGUGGGGAAUAUUGCACAAUGGGCGAAAGCCUGAUGCAGCGACGCCGCGUGAGCGAAGAAGUAUUUCGGUAUGUAAAGCUCUAUCAACAGGGAAGAUAAUGACGGUACCUGACUAAGAAGCACCGGCUAAAUACGUG
rnacentral:rRNA from 1 species